UACGUAGGGGGCAAGCGUUGUCCGGAUUUAUUGGGCGUAAAGAGCGUGUAGGCGGCCAGAUAGGUCCGUUGUGAAAACUCGAGGCUCAACCUCGAGACGCCGAUGGAAACCAUCUGGCUAGAGUCCGGAAGAGGAGAAUGGAAUUCCUGGUGUAGCGGUGAAAUGCGCAGAUAUCGUAAGGAAGACCAGUGGCGAAGGCGGGUCUCUGGACAGUUCCUGACGCUGAGGCACGAAGGUCAGGGGAGCAAACGGG
rnacentral:rRNA from 1 species